GAGACAGCAGUAGCCGCGGGAAUACGGAGGGAGCUAGCGUUGUUCGGAAUUACUGGGCGUAAAGCGCGCGUAGGCGGUUACUCAAGUCAGAGGUGAAAGCCCGGGGCUCAACCCCGGAACUGCCUUUGAAACUAGGUGACUAGAAUCUUGGAGAGGUCAGUGGAAUUCCGAGUGUAGAGGUGAAAUUCGUAGAUAUUCGGAAGAACACCAGUGGCGAAGGCGACUGACUGGACAAGUAUUGACGCUGAGGUGCGAAAGCGUGGGGAGCAAACAGGAUUAGAUACCCCUGUAGUCCCUGUCUCUUAUAC
rnacentral:rRNA from 1 species